AUUGAACGCUGGCGGCAGGCCUAACACAUGCAAGUCGAGCGACCGGCGGGCGGAUGAGUAAUGUCUGGGAAACUGCCUGAUGGCGAGGGGUAACUACUGGAACCGGUAGCUAAUACCGCAAACCAUCAGAUGUGCCCCGAUGGGAUGAGCUAGUAGGUGGGGUAAUGGCUCACCUAGGAGCCGAUCCUUAGCUGGUCUGCGAGGAUGACCAGCCAGACUGGAAAUGAGACACGGACCAGACACCUACGGGAGGCAGCAGUGGGGAAUAUUGUACAAUGGGCGAAAGCCUGAUGCAGCCAUGCCGCGUGUGGGAAUAAGGCCUUCGGGUUGUUAAGCACUUUUGGCGGAGAAGCGGUACCCGCAGAAGAAGCACCGGCUAACGCCGUGCCAGCAGCCGCGGUAAUUC
rnacentral:rRNA from 1 species